UACGGAGGAUCCAAGCGUUAUCCGGAAUCAUUGGGCUUAAAGGGUCCGUAGGCGGUUUUGUAAGUCAGUGGUGAAAGCCCAUCGCUCAACGGUGGAACGGCCAUUGAUACUGCAAGACUUGAAUUACUAGGAAGUAACUAGAAUAUGUAGUGUAGCGGUGAAAUGCUUAGAUAUUACAUGGAAUACCAAUUGCGAAGGCAGGUUACUGCUAGUUGAUUGACGCUGAUGGACGAAAGCGUGGGGAGCGAACAGG
rnacentral:rRNA from 1 species